CCUACGGGUGGCAGCAGUGGGGAAUAUUGGACAAUGGGCGAAAGCCUGAUCCAGCCAUGCCGCGUGUGUGAAGAAGGCCUUCGGGUUGUAAAGCACUUUCAGUGGGGAAGAAAGCCUUGGGGCUAAUACCCUCGAGGAAGGACAUCACCCACAGAAGAAGCACCGGCUAACUCCGUGCCAGCAGCCGCGGUAAUACGGAGGGUGCGAGCGUUAAUCGGAAUUACUGGGCGUAAAGCGCGCGUAGGCGGUCUGAUAAGCCGGUUGUGAAAGCCCCGGGCUCAACCUGGGAACGGCAUCCGGAACUGUCAGGCUAGAGUGCAGGCGAGGAAGGUAGAAUUCGCGGUGUAGCGGUGAAAUGCGUAGAGAUCGGGAGGAAUACCAGUGGCGAAGGCGGCCUUCUGGACUGACACUGACGCUGAGGUGCGAAAGCGUGGGUAGCAAACAGGAUUAGAUACCCUGGUAGUC
rnacentral:rRNA from 1 species